ensembl:snRNA U6 U6 spliceosomal RNA
GUACUUUAGCAUCACGUAUACUAAAUGUGGAACCAUACAGAGAAGAUUGGCAUAGCCCCUGUGCAAGGAUGAAAUGCAAAAUGUGAACUGUGCCAUACUUUU